GUAUUGAGGACAGUUCCUCUUUCAGUGCCCCCACUUCUUGCAAAAGAAGCAUUCAGCUUGACUCUUAUCAGGCUUGAUCUUUCUGGUCUGGCCCUGCACAAACGUCCUAGCCUGAACUUGCACCUUCUUCACUUUCUUCUUCUUAUUCUUCUUUCCUUUCUUAAAGGGUCGAGAACCAGAAGACGAACCUCCCACUAAGUUCACC
rnacentral:lncRNA from 1 species